rnacentral:rRNA from 1 species
GGUUAAGCGACUAAGCGUACACGGUGGAUGCCCUGGCAGUCAGAGGCGAUGAAGGACGUGCUAAUCUGCGAAAAGCGUCGGUAAGGUGAUAUGAACCGUUAUAACCGGCGAUGUCCGAAUGGGGAAACCCAGUGCAAUUCGUUGCACUAUCGUUAACUGAAUACAUAGGUUAACGAGGCGAACCGGGGGAACUGAAACAUCUAAGUACCCCGAGGAAAAGAAAUCAACCGAGAUUCCCCCAGUAGCGGCGAGCGAACGGGGAGCAGCCCAGAGUCUGAAUCAGCUUGUGUGUUAGUGGAACGGUCUGGAAAGUCCGACGGUACAGGGUGAUAGUCCCGUACACCAAAAUGCACAGGUUGUGAACUCGAAGAGUAGGGCGGGACACGUGGUAUCCUGUCUGAAUAUGGGGGGACCAUCCUCCAAGGCUAAAUACUCCUGACUGACCGAUAGUGAACCAGUACCGUGAGGGAAAGGCGAAAAGAACCCCGGCGAGGGGAGUGAAAAAGAACCUGAAACCGUGUACGUACAAGCAGUGGGAGCACCUUCGGGUGUGACUGCGUACCUUUUGUAUAAUGGGUCAGCGACUUAUAUUCUGUAGCAAGGUUAACCGUAUAGGGGAGCCGCAGGGAAACCGAGUCUUAACUGGGCGUUAAGUUGCAGGGUAUAGACCCGAAACCCGGUGAUCUAGCCAUGGGCAGGUUGAAGGUUGGGUAACACUAACUGGAGGACCGAACCGACUAAUGUUGAAAAAUUAGCGGAUGACUUGUGGCUGGGGGUGAAAGGCCAAUCAAACCGGGAGAUAGCUGGUUCUCCCCGAAAGCUAUUUAGGUAGCGCCUCGUGAACUCAUCUUCGGGGGUAGAGCACUGUUUCGGCUAGGGGGUCAUCCCGACUUACCAACCCGAUGCAAACUACGAAUACCGAAGAAUGUUAUCACGGGAGACACACGGCGGGUGCUAACGUCCGUCGUGAAGAGGGAAACAACCCAGACCGCCAGCUAAGGUCCCAAAGUCAUGGUUAAGUGGGAAACGAUGUGGGAAGGCACAGACAGCCAGGAUGUUGGCUUAGAAGCAGCCAUCAUUUAAAGAAAGCGUAAUAGCUCACUGGUCGAGUCGGCCUGCGCGGAAGAUGUAACGGGGCUAAACCAUGCACCGAAGCUGCGGCAGCGACACUAUGUGUUGUUGGGUAGGGGAGCGUUCUGUAAGCCUGCGAAGGUGACCUGUGAGGGUUGCUGGAGGUAUCAGAAGUGCGAAUGCUGACAUAAGUAACGAUAAAGCGGGUGAAAAGCCCGCUCGCCGGAAGACCAAGGGUUCCUGUCCAACGUUAAUCGGGGCAGGGUGAGUCGACCCCUAAGGCGAGGCCGAAAGGCGUAGUCGAUGGGAAACAGGUUAAUAUUCCUGUACUUGGUGUUACUGCGAAGGGGGGACGGAGAAGGCUAUGUUAGCCGGGCGACGGUUGUCCCGGUUUAAGCAUGUAGGCUGAUUGUCCAGGCAAAUCCGGAUAAUCAAGGCUGAGGUGUGAUGACGAGGCACUACGGUGCUGAAGUAACAAAUGCCCUGCUUCCAGGAAAAGCCUCUAAGCAUCAGGUAACAUCAAAUCGUACCCCAAACCGACACAGGUGGUCAGGUAGAGAAUACCAAGGCGCUUGAGAGAACUCGGGUGAAGGAACUAGGCAAAAUGGUGCCGUAACUUCGGGAGAAGGCACGCUGGUGUGUAGGUGAAGCCCCUGCGGGUGGAGCUGAGACCAGUCGAAGAUACCAGCUGGCUGCAACUGUUUAUUAAAAACACAGCACUGUGCAAACACGAAAGUGGACGUAUACGGUGUGACGCCUGCCCGGUGCCGGAAGGUUAAUUGAUGGGGUUAUCCGUAAGGAGAAGCUCUUGAUCGAAGCCCCGGUAAACGGCGGCCGUAACUAUAACGGUCCUAAGGUAGCGAAAUUCCUUGUCGGGUAAGUUCCGACCUGCACGAAUGGCGUAAUGAUGGCCAGGCUGUCUCCACCCGAGACUCAGUGAAAUUGAACUCGCUGUGAAGAUGCAGUGUACCCGCGGCAAGACGGAAAGACCCCGUGAACCUUUACUAUAGCUUGACACUGAACAUUGAGCCUUGAUGUGUAGGAUAGGUGGGAGGCUUUGAAGCGUGGACGCCAGUCUGCGUGGAGCCAACCUUGAAAUACCACCCUUUAAUGUUUGAUGUUCUAACGUUGGCCCCUGACCGGGGUUGCGGACAGUGUCUGGUGGGUAGUUUGACUGGGGCGGUCUCCUCCCAAAGCGUAACGGAGGAGCACGAAGGUUAGCUAAUCCUGGUCGGACAUCAGGAGGUUAGUGCAAUGGCAUAAGCUAGCUUGACUGCGAGCGUGACGGCGCGAGCAGGUGCGAAAGCAGGUCAUAGUGAUCCGGUGGUUCUGAAUGGAAGGGCCAUCGCUCAACGGAUAAAAGGUACUCCGGGGAUAACAGGCUGAUACCGCCCAAGAGUUCAUAUCGACGGCGGUGUUUGGCACCUCGAUGUCGGCUCAUCACAUCCUGGGGCUGAAGUAGGUCCCAAGGGUAUGGCUGUUCGCCAUUUAAAGUGGUACGCGAGCUGGGUUUAGAACGUCGUGAGACAGUUCGGUCCCUAUCUGCCGUGGGCGCUGGAGAAUUGAGGGGGGCUGCUCCUAGUACGAGAGGACCGGAGUGGACGCAUCACUGGUGUUCGGGUUGUCAUGCCAAUGGCACUGCCCGGUAGCUAAAUGCGGAAGAGAUAAGUGCUGAAAGCAUCUAAGCACGAAACUUGCCCCGAGAUGAGUUCUCCCUGAGACUUUAAGUCUCCUGAAGGAACGUUGAAGACGACGACGUUGAUAGGCCGGGUGUGUAAGCGCAGCGAUGCGUUGAGCUAACCGGUACUAAUGAACCGUGAGGCUUAACCUUAC